rnacentral:lncRNA from 1 species
CUUGGAGUGAGGGUACUGAGGAUUGAACCCAGGUGUGCUUAACCACUGAGCCCACAUCUCCAGCUCUUUUUAUGUUUUAGGUUGAGACAAGAUCUUACUAAGUUGCUUCAGAUUCACUAAAUUGCUGCUCCUGAACUUGUGAUCCUCCUGCCUUAGAGAGGAAUCUUGCUAAAAUUGUUCAGGUUGGCCCAGAAAUUGGCAGUCUCCCUACCCUUACUUAGCCUUCAGAGUCACUGGGAUUAUAGGCACGCUCCACCACAUUCCCUGAAGGGUUUUUGUCACAUAGUCAUAACUGGGAUUUGGGCUGGGUGUGGUAGUUCACCAUUAUAUUCCAGCUACUCUAGAGGCUGAGACAGGAGGAUUGCAAAUUGGAAGGCAGAGUGGUCAAUUUAGCAAGACCCUGUCUCAAAAAUAUUUGAGCCAGGCAUGGUGGUACACCUCUAUAAUCCCGUUGACUUGGGAAGCUGAAGAUCACAAGUUCAAAAGCAGUGUCUGCAAUUUGUCAAAGCUUAAGCAAUUUGUUGAGACCAUGUCAAAAGAAAAAUGGGCUGGGGCCAAUCCCUGGUAUUGCAUAAAAAUAAAAA